UUCAUCGCCGCCUUGUACCGUCGUCGUCGCAGUGGCGAUGGGAGAUCGGAUAUCGUUUCAUUCGUCAUUUUCUCCGUUGACGAUUCGAUUGUUGCUCGUCCACAU